UGGCUAGUCCCAGUAAGGAAGGAACUGC
rnacentral:piRNA from 1 species